UUAGAAUGAGUUGUAUAGAGCUUGUAUUGUGUAAAGUUGAAGUGAUUUAAUUGUAUACAUGCUGCUGGCUGUUGUUGUUGGUAUGGUUGUUGACAUGGUGGCCGAGUUGAAAACUCGGGGAUGUUCAAGUUACAGGGGAGAUGCUGCCCGAUUUUCGGUAGAUUCGGAGCUAGUAAUAAACUAGUCGAGAGACAUAGAUAAGGAAAUGAUUCCUAUGGUUACUUGGGUGUAGAGUUGGAAAUUGGAAAGUGAAAGUUUAUUAACCUUAGUAUUAAUUUCAUGUUAAAUAGGUUCAAGAGACGACGAGGCGAGCAUAGUUAAGAGUAAUCCGUAAGAGGUACAGAUGAUUGGUUUGCUGAUCCGCUCGCUUAGGACAUCCACCAUGUUGGUCGACAGUGCUCCUUUGUCCGGAGCCCUAUUUUGGGUACUGACACUUUCUGUUGUAUAUAUAUAUAUAUAUAUAUACGUUGUUCAGGGUACGGCGGGGCCCUGUCCCGUCAUAUGACUAGGAUAUCAGUCUGUAGAGGUCUGUAGACAUGAGAUGUGGGUUUUGUAUAUAUGUUUUGGGUUUUGUGUGUUU